CCCAGGUUCACCUCGCAUGCUCCACUCUCUCAGAGCCCUGCUUUUCUGGCCUGUAAAUUUGUGGUAAUGACGCCUCUCUCACAGAGCAUCUCGUUCCUAGAUGAUCUCUGCCACUUCUCUGCUCUGCCACGCUUGAACCACUCCACCGUGGUUUAGCGAAGAUCCAGUAUGUCCCAGGCACCGCACUAGAAGGUGGAGGACAGAGUGGAAGAUGCCAUGUGCUGAGGCAGAGAGAGCCACCACAGAGCCCAUGGGAGAUCCACCAGCAGACAGCAGGGCUGGUGCAGAAGCUGGGAAGAUGGAGGUCUGAACUUGCUCUUCCGGAAGUGACUUGUGAAGCUGGUGGAGCUGGUUUUGGGAGGGAAGAAGAACAUGGAGUCAGGCCAGAGGGGACCUUUGUCUCGUCCAGCUCUGGACCAUUCCUGAGGCACCUGCUUUGGUAGAAGAAACCAUUGUGGCUGUGCCUCCGAAUGUGUGCAUGUCUCUCUCUAUCCGUAUGCCUCCCCAUUCACCCAGGGGGCUCCCGUGCACAUCUGUGUAGAGUCUCCCUUCAUCUCACAAGCUGUGAGGCCACAGGCAGCUGAUUCAAACCACCUGACCUCUAUUUUCCUUGUCUGUAUAAUGGGAAUAAUAAUAAGUUCUACAAAAAGUUACUGUGGUGGCAAAAUGAAAAUGUGCAUAAGCUCUUUAGCACAGUUCCUGGUGCUCUUGUGUUAGGUUAUUAUUACCAGAUGCCUAAUGCAAGUUACCUAACCUCCCUGUGCCUCAGUUUCCCCAUGCGUAAAUUGGGAAUAAUACCAGAACCUAGUGUUGUUGUGAGGAUUAAAGAAGUUGAUACCUACAAAGUACUUG
rnacentral:lncRNA from 1 species